rnacentral:misc_RNA from 1 species
GUCUGCUUUUACCCUGUUGUUAAUGGUUUUGCAAAAUUGAAGUUAGAUUGUUCUUUAUAAGCUUAUUGAUUCUUAACAUGUUAAAGAGCAUAAUUUUAUUGAUUGGUUGUGGGGUUCACUCCGUUGUACAUGAUAAAUUGUUUGAUUUUGUUGAUUCAAGGAGGAAAGAGCAGUAUUUUGCCACUGUAGUUCAAGUCUUGUGUAUGUGUAGUUGCCUUGUGCAAAU